rnacentral:rRNA from 1 species
CUUUCUUUGCUGGCGACCGGCGCACGGGUGAGUAACACGUAUCCAACUUGCCCUUUACUCGGGGAUAGCCUUUCGAAGGAAAGAUUAAUACCCGAUAGUAUAAUGAUUCCGCAUGGUUUCAUUAUUAAAGGAUUCCGGUAAAGGAUGGGGAUGCGUUCCAUUAGGUUGUUGGUGAGGUAACGGCUCACCAAGCCUUCGAUGGAUAGGGGUUCUGAGAGGAAGGUCCCCCACAUUGGAACUGAGACACGGUCCAA